rnacentral:rRNA from 1 species
GACGAACGCUGGCGGCGUGCCUAAUACAUGCAAGUCGAACGAGAGCGACCGGUGCUUGCACUGGUCAAUCUAGUGGCGAACGGGUGAGUAACACGUGGGUAACCAGCUCAUCAGAGGGGGAUAACAUCCGGAAACGGAUGCUAAAACCGCAUAGGUCUUCGAGCCGCAUGGCUUGAAGAGGAAAAGAGGCGCAAGCUUCUGCUGAUGGAUGGACCCGCGGUGCAUUAGCUAGUUGGUGAGGUAACGGCUCACCAAGGCCGUGAUGCAUAGCCGACCUGAGAGGGUGAUCGGCCACAUUGGGACUGAGACACGGCCCAAACUCCUACGGGAGGCAGCAGUAGGGAAUCUUCCGCAAUGGACGCAAGUCUGACGGAGCAACGCCGCGUGAGUGAAGAAGGUUUUCGGAUCGUAAAACUCUGUUGUUAGAGAAGAACAAGUGCUAGAGUAACUGUUAGCGCCUUGACGGUAGCUAACCAGAAAGCCACGGCUAACUACGUG